rnacentral:rRNA from 1 species
CGCGUAGGCGGUCCGCUAAGUUGGAUGUGAAAACUCUGGGCUUAACCCAGAGCCUGCAUUCAAAACUGACGGGCUAGAGUUCUGGAGGGGAUAGCGGAAUUCCUGGUGUAGCGGUGAAAUGCGUAGAUAUCAGGAGGAACACCGGUGGCGAAGGCGGCUAUCUGGACAGAAACUGGCGCUGAGGCGCGAAAGCUAGGGGAGCAAACA